rnacentral:sRNA from 1 species
ACGUCACUCCGGCAACCCAGUGGGUCUGGCCCUUGCGAUGGUCGCUAUU